rnacentral:rRNA from 1 species
GACGAACGCUGGCGGCGUGCUUAACACAUGCAAGUCGAGCGAUGAAGCACCUUCGGGUGUGGAUUAGCGGCGAACGGGUGAGGAACACGUGAGGAAUCUGCCUUUCACUUCGGGAUAACUCCGGGAAACCGGGGCUAAUACCGGAUAUUUUCAACUGGCGGCAUCGCCGGUUGAAGAAAGUUUUUCGGUGAAGGAUGACCUCGCGGCCUAUCAGCUUGUUGGUGAGGUAAUGGCUCACCAAGGCGACGAAGGGUGGCCGGCCUGAGAGGGCGACCGGCCACACUGGGACUGAGAGACGGACCAGACUCCGACGGGAGGCAGCAGUGGGGAAUAUUGGGCAAUGGAGGAAACUCUGACCCAGCGACGCCGCGUGAGGGAUGAAGGCCUUCGGGUUGUAAACCUCUUUCAGCAGGGAAUAAGCGAAAGUGAAGGUACCGGCAGAAGAAGCACCGGCUAACUAUGUGCCAGCCGCCGCCGUAA